GCAGCACACAAGCUGGCAUGGGCUCGGCUGGACUAGGCUCUCAGAAUCCUGCUGCAGCCUUGGCCGCACUUCCACAAGCCCAGGGGGACCAAGCUGUGACAACUCCCUGCUCAGUCCCGCCCGUUUCUCACUCACACAGGAAUGAAGUCUGCGAACAGUCUACGAGAACUCUUGUCCAAAAUGUGCAGCCCGGCCAGUUCACUUUCGACAGUUUCAGAAGGACAGGUGGAAUACUGAGCUACGUCAUGAGGGUGGCAGCCACCAACUACAAACAGUUCGCCAUGGUCUAUGUGGAGAAGAACGUAAGAUUCAAGUGGCACUUCCAGGCCACCCUCUAUGGGAGAACCAAGAAGCUGAGCCACAAACUGAAGGAGCGCUUCGUGAAAUUUUCCAAGUCUGUGGACUUCACUGAGGACAACAUCGCCUUCUUUGUUCCCAUCGGUCUUCCUCAUUUCGAACAAGGAAUUUCUCCUUCAUUUCUGGCUGGGGAAGACAUUCCAGCCAGGCCACUCAGGGGCAGUGGCUGAGUGGCUGCGCGACUGUGUAGUUAAACAGAAGAAUGCAUUGAUGACUGAAUGGGCAGUGCCUCCUGUGUCUCCUCCUGUUCUUCCUGUCAUCAUUGCCCAAGGUACUCUCUGGCUGCUCGUCAAUAACCAUGACUGGGCAAGAUCUGGAAGAUGCUUCUGAAGGUGCAGUGAUGCUCGGCCAUCAUCCCACAAGCCACCCCUUCGAUGGAUCCCCUUUUCUGCUAAAUAAAAACAUGCA